UACUUUAGACCAGGGCCCCAUAGGGGUAGUCCACUACUUUAGACCAGGGCCCCAUAGGGAUAGUGCACUACUUUAGAUAGGGGAAUCCAUAGAGAAUAGGGUGCCAUUUGGCAUGCGCCCCAUGUUCCACUCAACAUAAUGUAUAGCUGCCAUCCCAAGGCCUCAUAUCAACAGGAGUUCCAGAUUAGAGAAGUUGAGCUCGUCAUCUUUCUCUCUCUUUAUCUGGUCUUAUUUACACCAGUGGAUCCACAGCUUGACCCUGCUGGCUAAUUUCACCUUCUUUGCAAUGUGGUGUGUGUUUAGGCGGAUGUGUGUCUGUUUUGUCACAUGCUUGGUAAAGAAAAAGGUGUUGUGUGUGUGUGUGUGUGUGUGUGUGUGUGUGUGUGUGUGUGUGUGUGUGUACUCCUUCGGAUUUCUGAUGGGUUCUCAGAAAAGUAUUUUUGUUUAAAACAUCACUCUUCAAGGUUAUCUAUGUUUGUGAUUUUAAAGCAUGAAACACACUGAGAAUCUCAUUGCCGAUAGGUCGUUAUCACAGUGGGAGGCCCUUCCUUCUCUAGCUAGAACACUGAGAAUCUCAUUGCCGAUAGGUCGUUAUCACAGUGGGAGGCCCUUCCUUCUCUAGCUACAACACUGAGAAUCUCAUUGCCGAUAGGUCGUUAUCACAGUGGGAGGCCCUUCCUUCUCUAGCUACAACACUGAGAAUCUCAUUGCCGAUAGGUCGUUAUCACAGUGGGAGGCCCUUCCUUCUCUAGCUAGAACACUGAGAAUCUCAUUGCCGAUAGGUCGUUAUCACAGUGGGAGGCCCUUCCUUCUCUAGCUAGAACACUGAGAAUCUCAUUGCCGAUAGGUCGUUAUCACAGUGGGAGGCCCUUCUCUAGCUAGAACACUGAGAAUCUCAUUGCCGAUAGGUCGUUAUCACAGUGGGAGGCCCUUCCUUCUCUAGCUAGAACACUGAGAAUCUCAUUGCCGAUAGGUCGUUAUCACAGUGGGAGGCCCUUCCUUCUCUAACUAG